ACCCGCUGAACUUAAGCAUAUCAAUAAGCGGAGGAAAAGAAAAUAACAAUGAUUUCCCUAGUAACGGCGAGUGAAGAGGAAAGAGCUCAAAGUUGGAACCUAUUUGGCUUAGCUAAAUCGGAUUGUAAACUGUAGAAGUGUUUUCCAGACACGCCUGGUAAAAAAGUCCUUUGGAACAGGGCAUCAUAGAGGGUGAGAAUCCCGUCAUUGGCCAGAGCUGUUGUCUUUUGUGAUACAUUUUCAAAGAGCCAGGUUGUUUGGGAAUGCAGCCUAAAUUGGGUGGUAAAUCUCACCUAAAGCUAAAUAUUUGCGAGAGACCGAUAGCGAACAAGUACCGUGAGGGAAAGAUGAAAAGAACUUUGAAAAGAGAGUUAAACAGUAAGUGAAAUUGUUAAAAGGGAACCGUUUGGAGCCAGACUGGCUUAAUCGUAAUCAAUCUAGGCUUUGGCCUGGAUGCACUUGCGGUUUAUGCCGGCCAACGACAGUUUUGUUUGGGAGAAAAAAUUACAUUGAAUGUGGCCCCUCGGGGUGUUAUAGCUUUGUAAAAAAUAUCCUGGACUGGACUGAGGAACGCAGUGAAUGCCUUUAGGCAAGAUUGCUGGGUGCUUUCACUAAUAAAUGCUAGAAUUUCUGCUUCGGGUGGUGCUAGUGGUUAAAGGAGGAACUCGCCUGGUAUAUUUUUUAUUCGCUUAGGUUGUUGGCUUAAUGACUCUAAAUGACCCGUCUUGAAACACGGACC
rnacentral:rRNA from 1 species